UCGGGUCCGAGUUGUAAUUUGUAGAGGAUGCUUUUGGUGAGGUGCCUUCCGAGUUCCCUGGAACGGGACGCCAUAGAGGGUGAGAGCCCCGUCUGGUCGGACACCGAUCCUCUGUAAAGCUCCUUCGACGAGUCGAGUAGUUUGGGAAUGCUGCUCUAAAUGGGAGGUAUAUGUCUUCUAAAGCUAAAUAUUGGCCAGAGACCGAUAGCGCACAAGUAGAGUGAUCGAAAGAUGAAAAGCACUUUGAAAAGAGGGUUAAACAGUACGUGAAAUUGUUGAAAGGGAAGCGCUUGUGACCAGACUUGGGCCCGGUUAAUCAUCCAGUGUUCUCACUGGUGCACUUGGCCGGCCCAGGCCAGCAUCAGUUCGGUGCGGGGGAUAAAGGCGUCGGGAAUGUGGCUCCUCCGGGAGUGUUAUAGCCCGUCGUGCAAUACCCUGCGCUGGACUGAGGUUCGCGCAUCUGCAAGGAU
rnacentral:rRNA from 1 species